rnacentral:rRNA from 1 species
AGUGAACGCUGGCGGUAGGCCUAACACAUGCAAGUCGAACGGCAGCACAGUAAGAGCUUGCUCUUACGGGUGGCGAGUGGCGGACGGGUGAGGAAUACAUCGGAAUCUACUUUUUCGUGGGGGAUAACGUAGGGAAACUUACGCUAAUACCGCAUACGACCUACGGGUGAAAGCAGGGGAUCUUCGGCCCUUGCGCGAUUGAAUGAGCCGAUGUCGGUUUAGCUAGUUGGCGGGGUAAAGGCCCACCAAGGCGACGAUCCGUAGCUGGUCUGAGAGGAUGAUCAGCCACACUGGAACUGAGACACGGUCCAGACUCCUACGGGAGGCAGCAGUGGGGAAUAUUGGACAAUGGGCGCAAGCCUGAUCCAGCCAUACCGCGUGGGUGAAGAAGGCCUUCGGGUUGUAAAGCCCUUUUGUUGGGAAAGAAAAGCAGCAGGUUAAUACCCCGCUGUUCUGACGGUACCCAAAGAAUAAGCACCGGCUAACUUCGUG